GUGAUGAGAGUACCUUACGAAUAAGCAUCGGCUAACUCCCGUGCCAGCAGCCGCGGUAAUACGGGGGAUGCAAGCGUUAUCCGGGAUUUAUUGGGUUUAAAGGGUGCGUAGGCGGUUUUGUAAGUCAGCGGUGAAAUUUCGGAGCUCAACUUCGAACGUGCCGUUGAUACUGCAGAACUGGAAUGCGGAUGCCGUGGGAGGAAUGUGUGGUGUAGCGGUGAAAUGCAUAGAUAUCACACAGAACACCGAUUGCGAAGGCAUCUCACGAAUCCGCUAUUGACGCUGAGGCACGAAAGCGUGGGGAUCAAACAGGAUUAGAUACCCUGGUAGUCCACGCUGUAAACGAUGAUGACUAACCGUCGGCGAUAUACAGUCGGUGGCCAAGCGAAAGCGAUAAGUCAUCCACCUGGGGAGUACGACCGCAAGGUUGAAACUCAAAGGAAUUGACGGGGGCCCGCACAAGCGGAGGAACAUGUGGUUUAAUUCGAUGAUACGCGAGGAACCUUACCCGGGCUCGAACGGCAGGGGAAUAAUCCAGAGAUGGAUUAGUCUUCGGACUCCUGUCGAGGUGCUGCAUGGUUGUCGUCAGCUCGUGCUGUGAAGUGUCGGCUUAAGUGCCAUAACGAGCGCAACCCUUGCCAUUAGUUGCCAUCAGGUUAUGCUGGGGACUCUAGUGGGACUGCCACCGCAAGGUGUGAGGAAGGGGGGGAUGACGUCAAAUCAGCACGGCCCUUACGUCCGGGGCGACACACGUGUUACAAUGGUGGGUACAGAGGGAAGCUACCUGGCGACAGGAUGCAGAUCUCGAAAACCCAUCCCAGUUCGGAUUGGAGUCUGCAACCCGACUCCAUGAAGUUGGAUUCGCUAGUAAUCGCGCAUCAGCCAUGGCGCGGUGAAUACGUUCCCGGGCCUUGUACACACCGCCCGUCAAGCCAUGGAAGCCGGGGGCGCCUGAAGUUCGUGACCGCGAGGAGCGACCUAGCG
rnacentral:rRNA from 1 species